rnacentral:rRNA from 1 species
UACAGAGGGGGCAAGCGUUGUUCGGAAUUACUGGGCGUAAAGGGCGCGUAGGCGGCCUUCUAAGUCGAACGUGAAAUCCCCGGGCUCAACCCGGGAACUGCGUCCGAUACUGGAAGGCUUGAAUCCGGGAGAGGGAUGCGGAAUUCCAGGUGUAGCGGUGAAAUGCGCAGAUAUCAGGAGGAACACCGAUGGCGAAGGCAGCUCGCUGGGACGGUACUGACGCUGAGGCGCGAAAGCGUGGGGAGCAAACAGG